rnacentral:rRNA from 1 species
AUACGUAGGUGGCAAGCGUUGUCCGGAAUUAUUGGGCGUAAAGCGCGCGCAGGUGGUUCCUUAAGUCUGAUGUGAAAGCCCCCGGCUCAACCGGGGAGGGUCAUUGGAAACUGGGGAACUUGAGUGCAGAAGAGGAUAGUGGAAUUCCAAGUGUAGCGGUGAAAUGCGUAGAGAUUUGGAGGAACGCCAGUGGCGAAGGCGACUGGCUGGUCUGUAACUGACACUGAGGAGCGAAAGCGUGGGGAGCAAACAGGAUUAGAUACCCUGGUAGUCCACGCCGUAAACGAUGAGUGCUAAGUGUUGGGGGGUUUCCGCCCCUCAGUGCUGCAGCUAACGCAUUAAGCACUCCGCCUGGGGAGUACGGUCGCAAGACUGAAACUCAAAUGAAUUGACGGGG